GACGAACGCUGGCGGCGCGCUUAAUACAUGCAAGUCGAGCGAGAACUAGGGCUUCGGCCCUGGGGACAGCGGCGAACGGGUGAGUAACACGUGGGUGAUCAACCCCCGACACCGGGAUAGCCCAGGGAGACUUGGAUUAAUACCGGAUGCCCCGUCUGGCCUUCGGGCCGGCCGGAAAAGGGUAGCUUCGGCCUCUGGUCGGGGACGAGCCCGCGGCGGAUUAGCUUGUUGGUGAGGUAAAGGCUCACCAAGGCGACGAUCCGUAGCUGGUCUGAGAGGACGAUCAGCCACACUGGGACUGAGACACGGCCCAGACUCCUACGGGAGGCAGCAGUAGGGAAUCUUGCGCAAUGGGCGAAAGCCUGACGCAGCGACGCCGCGUGAGGGAAGAAGGCCUUCGGGUUGUAAACCUCUUUCAGGAGGGACGAAGCCACUCGGGUUAAUAGCCUAGAGGGUGACGGUACCUCCAGAAGAAGCCCCGGCUAACUACGUGCCAGCCGCCGCGGUAAUAC
rnacentral:rRNA from 1 species